UUUUUCUCCAGUUACAUUCAGCAGUGCAGCUUUAAGCACUGAAUAAGUGAAGACUGGAAUUUAACUGGAGUUGGGAUUUUGCCAGUUGACUAUGGACCAAGUGAAAGCCGUAAAGGACUGAAAGCAUGUGCAAAAAGAGUGCUUCAAAGAGGUAAAGGGCUGAAAAUGUGCAAAAAGAGUGUUUGUAAUGAUUGGCCAUGGGAUGUAUGCUGGGUUAGAAGGGAGAUAAGAACUUGACAAAGGACAGUAAAUUGAUUAUAGGGUUUAAUAGAGAUGUGUUUAAAAGAUUGUAGGAGUUGAGGUACUUGACUCUGAUAUCUAGUCACCAAUAACUGUUUAUGUUUCCAUUCUACUUGCACCUCAUUAGUUUAAUCUUCUCUAAUCAAUGUGUCUGACUCCAAACCAGGCUGGAGAAUGAUGAAUUUUAUGAUGUGCAGAAUAACCAGUGUGGGGUGUGGGGUAAGGUGGGAAUAAGGAAAGAUCAGUUAAGGUUUAAUGAGGAAGCAGUCAAGAGGAAGUAUCUACAAUACAAUAAAACACUUAACUAGAAGCUGAUAUUCCCCCUUUAAUACUACCCUCCAUAUAAUAGGUAGUUGCUGAACAUGUCUGAGGAAUGAAAUUGGAUGGAUGAAUCCAGUUGAGAAGAUAUGAUUUUCCUGAGGGAGAGAGUAAUGAGUAUGGUAGUGGCAGUGAAAAUGACUAGAAGAGAUGGAUUUGAGAAAUAUUAAGGAUAAAAUCAACAGGACUUGAUGGAGUGGUUGGGAAGAAGCAAACAGGAGUGCAAAGAGGGAAAUUACAGAGUGAAAGGAUCUGACAGCCAAAGAUUGAAACUUGCACAACUCUUGUGUCUAAGGAUCAGAAAAGAAGAGAAGAGCCCACAAAACAAAGAGCAACCAAAGAUGUACACAAAUAAAAAUUGGAGAGAAAAGUGAACAGAAUAGAGAACUUCAAGAAGGAAGUGGUCAUCUGAAUGAAAUGUCAAGAAAUGUCAAAUAAGUUGUGAUCUGAAAGGCAUCUGUUAGCUAUGGUGAACCAAGGCAUUGAGCUCUACAAGAAGAAGGUAGAAGCCUUCUUUGGAGUGGUAGAGACCAACAUCAGAUUAGAAUAUACUGAGGAGUUAACAGAAAAGUAGGAAGUGGGAGACACAAGAAAAGGCUCUUUUUUGAGUAGCUUGGCUAAGAAAAGGAAGGAGAUAGAGUAAUGGCCAUGGGAACCUAUGAGUUAUUCAUAGUUAUUUUUAAUUUUGUUGUUUUGAAAACUGAAAAUUAUUGAGCAUGUUGAUAGGGAGGAAAUGAUCAAAGUUUGAAGAUAUAGGAGAAAGUCCAGGACAGUGAGAGUCUUUGGGCAAAGGCAUACGGGGAUCAAAAGCAGAGAAAGGUGUCCACUUCUUACCCUGUUGGAAGGCACAAAGGAUGGUUUAGAGGGAGGUAUGUUUAUGUCUGCCUCACUUAUUGAAAAAUACAUCUGUACUUAUGCCCUCCACUUUCUCAUCAACUAUUUCUAUGCAUUCUGGCUUCUUCUUUUUUUUUUUUUUUUUUUUUUUUGA
rnacentral:lncRNA from 10 species